rnacentral:rRNA from 1 species
UACAGAGGUCUCAAGCGUUGUUCGGUUUCAUUGGGCGUAAAGGGUGCGUAGGCGGCGCGGUAAGUCGGGUGUGAAAUCUCGGAGCUUAACUCCGAAACUGCAUUCGAUACUGCCGUGCUUGAGGACUGGAGAGGAGACUGGAAUUUACGGUGUAGCGGUGAAAUGCGUAGAUAUCGUAAGGAAGACCAGUGGCGAAGGCGGGUCUCUGGACAGUUCCUGACGCUGAGGCACGAAGGUCAGGGGAGCAAACGGG